rnacentral:lncRNA from 1 species
ACAUCACCACAACCGGCUAGGACAUAGAACCCUCAGCUAUACUCUCUUGUAUUCGCCCCUGUACAAGCACUUAGGUGCAAGAUAAUACACACUCUCCCCCCUCCCCCGCUGGACAUAGGGCCUUCCUUUGCCCAAACCAGGAUAAACCCUUGUGUAAUUCUUGCAUAAUCAUCCGGAAAAGGGAGCACGCACACAAAUUCACUCGUUGGUGUUACCCCCCGAGGUCAAAACACCGACAUUAACUUUCAAAGCCCUGAGCAGUAGACAGCAAAGACAUAGAUCAUUUCUUGAACCUGAAAGUGGCAAAAAAUGAGCACUCAAAGAUUGUGAGCAAGGAAAAAAAUAAAGAAAAACUAAAGCAAUUUUAGAUAUCAAAUAGAAUUUUCAAGUUCAAUCCAGCUAAUCGAUACAAAUUUGUGUACCCUACAGACAGGUUAUUUCUACAACAAUGAUGCAGAAAUGGCUCACGAAGGACCUUUUUCCAUUAGAUAUGCUGAAGCCACCC